UGUCCGAAUGGCACCGGAUACCGGUGCCCAUCCCUACCGGUGAUGGCUAACAGCCUAACAUCGUAGUGAUGGACAAGCAGAGGAAGACGGUUGUAGUGAUAAAAUAUAGCUAUACUGAAUGACAACAAAGAUGCUGCGCAGGACCUCUGGGGGCUUGAGAAGUGUAUUUGUGUGGGUGGGUGUGUGUUGGGGGCACUGCCCUGAGUGUUCCAGUUGCAACGAGGACUACUGCUGCUUUCAAUCUCCACAUCUUCUUGAGCUCUCCUCUCAGCUCUUGGCACUUCCCGAGCGGCUAUCAUUCAGUAUAGCUACAUCUGUCACUACAGCUGUCUUCCUCUUGGAUUGCCAUCACCAGUUUUUCUGUCUGUAUCUGCAAGUCCCACAGGAUCUUAACUCGGUCAUUCUCAACUACCCUAAGGGGACAUUUGGUUAUGGUGUUCUAUGUAUGCCAUACCUGCUAGCAUCUUGCACCUUGUUGCUAUGUGCUGAAAUUUUCUCAUUAGCAUCUCUGUACAGCCUACGGGGUCUUGUUCCUAUUCUGCCAUAUUAGUGCUGUCUCUGUGCUGUCUUUCAGUUCAGCUUUGUCCAGCCACUGACAGGAUUUGUGGAUGUCAGUCUCUUCUUCUGUCUGACGGUGGCACAUACCGUGCAGGCUCCCAUCCUUCCGUGAUGGUUCCUUUUCCUGCUUCUCUUCUCUCGGGAUUCUGCUGCAAGAGUGGUGUCACCAUGAAACCUCAGAGCUGGCUCAGAAGGAACUGGCUGUGGGCCGUCUCUGGUGCCUUUGUGACUAUCCACCUGGCUACAUGGAUAAUGCAGAGAACUAUGAAGAGCGUGGUGCGCUCUGAGGUUGCAGUCAA